GGACUACUGGGGUAUCUAAUCCCGUUUGCUCCCCUAGCUUUCGCGCCUCAGCGUCAGUAUCCGUCCAGAAGGCCGCCUUCGCCACUGGUAUUCCUCCCGAUAUCUACGCAUUUCACCGCUACACCGGGAAUUCUGCCUUCCUCUCCGGAACUCAAUUCCUGCAGUUUCUCCUGCACUUCCAAAGUUAAGCCCUGGGCUUUCACAGAAGACUUAUAGGACCGCCUACGCGCCCUUUACGCCCAAUAAUUCCGAGUAACGCUUGCUCCCUCCGUAUUACCGCGGCGGCUGGCAC
rnacentral:rRNA from 1 species